CCCAGGUGAUGCUGGUAGAGCACACGCCCAGAACCACCGCCAGGUACACAAGUCACUGGACAAGGUGGGAAGGCAUCUUACUCAAUCAAUGGACCUUAUUCUAAAGCGGGAAGGGCACUGAGAGUAUAGGGAGGGUAUCUCUCAAAUGAGGAGUCUACGACCUGCUUCAGGGGAAGGCCAACAACUUCUUGGAUUUUAUGACCUGCUUCAGGGGAGAAGGACAAGGGAAGUACAGCGCCUACAACAAUGCAAAGGCUAGAAGGAAUGAAGGCAGGGACAUGGAAUGGAGAAUUUCCAUUUCACGGAUCCACAUAAACUGAAAAGGAACAAGAGUCGGUGAGACCAAAGAGCACUGAAGGCCAUGAACCACCACCAUUCUCAACCCCUGGGCCAGGCAAGAAAAGCCACGGUUCCUGGAAGGGAUGACGACAGGACCUAACAGACACAGUGACCAAAGCUACAGGGGCCUCCAGAGGAAACGGUGAGAACCACAGGAGAAAGGGGGUCUUUGCUGCUGACGGCGAGCACCCAAGCCCAAGCUCCCAGUGGUGAUCUCUCACAAGACCACACAGCCGAUUUCCCUGGAGACAGCACAACCUGUUAAGGGCAUCUUCCAUGCCAUUAAGG
rnacentral:lncRNA from 1 species